GACGAACGCUGGCGGCGUGCUUAACACAUGCAAGUCGAACGAAGAGCGAUGGAAGCUUGCUUCUAUCAAUCUUAGUGGCGAACGGGUGAGUAACGCAUAAUCAACCUGCCCUUCAGAGGGGGACAACAGUUGGAAACGACUGCUAAUACCGCAUACGAUCUAAUCUCGGCAUCGAGGAUAGAUGAAAGGUGGCCUCUACAUGUAAGCUAUCACUGAAGGAGGGGAUUGCGUCUGAUUAGCUAGUUGGAGGGGUAACGGCCCACCAAGGCGAUGAUCAGUAGCCGGUCUGAGAGGAUGAACGGCCACAUUGGGACUGAGGCACGGCCCAGACUCCUACGGGAGGCAGCAGUGGGGAAUCUUCCGCAAUGGACGAAAGUCUGACGGAGCAACGCCGCGUGAGUGAUGACGGCCUUCGGGUUGUAAAGCUCUGUUAAUCGGGACGAAAGGCCUUCUUGCGAAUAGUGAGAAGGAUUGACGGUACCGGAAUAGAAAGCCACGGCUAACUACGUG
rnacentral:rRNA from 1 species